GCGGCACAGCUCUAUAUUUUGAUAUUUGAAAACAAAAUAGUAGUGCAUAUGAAUUAACUUCACAUUCUACAUGAUACUUUUUUUCGAAGCGUAGUCCCAGAAACUUAUUUGCAAAAGCAAAACAGACAAAAAUGACAUUAUGCAGAUUUUGUAUCUAUAAAAUAAAAUAUUAUACCUACCUGCCUACCCAUGAAAAAAAUAUACCGAGCCAAGUUAUUUUUUUGGGGAAAAAAAUAAAAUAUUUUACCUACCUACCUACCCUGUUUCAAAACAUAGGGUCGGAAAAGGGCAAACAAACAAUAUUUUAAUUUAGGCCUGACAUGGAUUUU
rnacentral:lncRNA from 1 species